GGGCUUCGGCCCUGGGGACAGCGGCGAACGGGUGAGUACCACGUGAGUAAUCUGCCCUCGGCACCGGGAUAGCCCGGGGAAACCCGGAUUAAUACCGGAUGGCCUCUCGAGCUUUCGGGCUCGUGAGAAAAGGUAGCUUCGGCCUCCGGCCGAGGAGGAGCUCGCGGCGGAUUAGCUUGUUGGUGAGGUAAUGGCUCACCAAGGCGACGAUCCGUAGCUGGUCUGAGAGGACGAUCAGCCACACUGGGACUGAGACACGGCCCAGACUCCUACGGGAGGCAGCAGUAGGGAAUCUUGCGCAAUGGGCGAAAGCCUGACGCAGCGACGCCGCGUGCGGGAAGAAGGCCUUCGGGUUGUAAACCGCUUUCAGGAGGGACGAAGCCACUCGGGUUAAUAGCCCAGAGGGUGACGGUACCUCCAGAAGAAGCCCCGGCUAACUACGUGCCAGCAGCCGCGGUAAUACGUAGGGGGCAAGCGUUGUCCGGAUUCAUUGGGCGUAAAGAGCGUGUAGGCGGCCAGGUAGGUCCGUUGUGAAAACUCGAGGCUCAACCUCGAGACGUCGAUGGAAACCCUUUGGCUAGAGUCCGGAAGAGGAGAGUGGAAUUCCUGGUGUAGCGGUGAAAUGCGCAGAUAUCAGGAAGAACACCUAUGGCGAAGGCAGCUCUCUGGGACGGUACUGACGCUGAGACGCGAAAGCGUGGGGAGCGAACAGGAUUAGAUACCCUGGUAGUCCACGCCGUAAACGAUGGGAACUAGGUGUGGGCGGUGUCGACUCCGUCCGU
rnacentral:rRNA from 1 species